UACCACUUCUAAUAACCAUGGCCAUAACUGGGACAUCAUUUUUUAGAUUUGCCGUCGUGUCGCUAGGUAUGCCUCCUUUUGGUCUAAAAUUGAGUUGGGUUGAAAUUUUCCCCACUUGUGUCUUCAAUUGCUUAAUGGAAGCUGAAUCUGAAAUUAAUAUUUCAUUAAGUUGAGAAAAUUCUCUCUUUAUACCCCUUACCUUUUUGUUAUUUUAU
rnacentral:lncRNA from 1 species